UCCCAUCAGCAGGCUGCUGCAAUGGAUGUUGGGAAUCGGGGGGAGGCUUCAGUUUUUCAGGAACUGAGCCCUUGACCUCAUUGUUUCCUUGUUCUCCCAGGUAAUCUCUGGUUCUUUGCAUUUAAAAUAUAUGCUUGAGCGGUGCCAGUGCUUUGAUCCAGGAAUUCCGCUAUCGCACCUGAAUUUUGCCUCAAUAGAAAUGGAGCAAACACUUCACUCGGAUUACCAGUCUCCGCGAUACUAUCAUUAUGGCGACGGGGAAACGCAUAGAAACACAGAUAACAAGAGAAAUUCACACUAAAAGGCUGGUGGAUUUUCCUUAGAACAUUCCAAAGAAUUUGCCCACAGAUAUGUAAACGUUGAGAAGCUGAAAUUAAAAAUGGAAGAAUCGGAAACCGAGAAGCUGAAAUUGACAGAAUUGCCCUUCCCUUAUAGUAAAGUGGAAACUCUUCCCUACAGCUGGGAAUGAAACCUGCUACGGGGCCUUCAGAACACUUGACUGCUACGCUUUCGUACAAUAGCAACCUAUUACUAGGACCCCUUUGCCAAUUAAAGGACUCAAUCACCCCCUC